AACGUAGGUGGCAAACGUUAUCCGGAUUCACUGGGCGUAAAGAGUGCGUAGGCGGCUUUUCAAGUCGGAUGUAAAAUCUCUCGGCUCAACUGGGAGGGACCAUCCGAUACUGUGAGGCUAGAGUGCAUCAGAGGAGAGUGGAAUUCCCGGUGUAGUGGUGGAAUGCGUAGAUAUCGGGAGGAACACCUGUGGCGAAAGCGGCUCUCUGGGAUGUUACUGACGCUGUUGCACGAAAGCGUGGGGAG
rnacentral:rRNA from 1 species